rnacentral:rRNA from 1 species
GCUACUUCCGGGCCAGCGGCUGCGUGAAUACGGAGGGGGCAAGCGGUGUCCGGAAUUAUUGUGCGUAAAGAGGGUGUAGGCGGCCAGGUAGGUCCGUUGUGAAAACUUGAGGCUCAACCUCGAGACGCCGAUGGAAACCAUCUGGCUAGAGGCCGGAAGAGGAGAGUGGAAUUCCUGGUGUAGCGGUGAAAUGCGCAGAUAUCAGGAAGAACACCCGUGGCUAAGGCGGCUCUCUAGUACGGUACUGACGCUGAGACGCGAAAGCGUGGGGAGCGAACAGGAUUAGAUACCCGGGUAGUC